AUCCACAGCCAUACCACCCUGGACAUGCCCGGUCUUGUCUGUUCUUAGAAGGUAAGCAGGGUCGGGCCUCCCUUAGUACUUGGAUGGGAGAGCGGGGAUAGUUGAUGCUCUGUGUC
rnacentral:rRNA from 1 species